UCCCGCGCCCUCGCAGGCUGGCUCCCGAGGUUUGCUCGCCCAGGUGUUUCUGAACCCCGCAGACUUAACAAAGAGCACAGGCGCUCCCUCUUGUGCCACCUCGCGGCGGCCUCCAGGAGAGCCUUGGAUAGGACCUUCUGGGCGGAAGUAGACCUUGGCUGCUAAUUUCUGUAAGUUCUGCUUUAAACCAUCACAGAAGGCACCGAAGUUAGCUUUUUUUUUUUUUUUUUUUUUUUUUUUUUUUCCUUGUGCGUCUCUUAGAUGCCCCGCUCGACCUCGCUACUACCCGAGUACCUGGGUCAGACAUUGCGUACUGACUCAUAAACACACACGGAAAUAGAGCAUCUUCAACAUCAGCAAAGUGGACCAGCUGUGUGAGAAGAGGACCGGAGGAGUGAGGGAGCAGCAGAAGCUUAACAAUAGCUGCAUCGAUUUGUUAGAAAGUCAGACUUGUAAUAAAGACAGAUUCCAGGACCUGAACCCAAGAGGGACAAAUGGAGAACUGACUGGACAGAGCUGUGCAGAGAAUUAACCAGAAUAAAACUGUUUUCAUGAGAGCAUCCAGAAAACUGCCAAGCAAGCAUAAGAUCUUCUGCCAUUCUUCUUGUCCAGCUCAUUUUCUUUGUGGUGGGUCUUACCAGAAGACACUGUGUACAGAAAAAGAGCUUCUGGAAGUUUUCAUGUUUCAGCAGUGAGUUGUUUAAACAUCUGACAGUCAUUUGCAACCAAACAUCUCUGU
rnacentral:lncRNA from 1 species